UACAGAGGUCCCGAGCGUUGUUCGGAUUCAUUGGGCGUAAAGGGUGCGUAGGUGGCGCUGUAAGUGGGGUGUGAAAUCCCGGGGCUUAACUCCGGAACUGCAUUCCAUACUGCGGUGCUUGAGGACUGGAGAGGAGACUGGAAUUUACGGUGUAGCAGUGAAAUGCGUAGAGAUCGUAAGGAAGACCAGUGGCGAAGGCGGGUCUCUGGACAGUUCCUGACACUGAGACACGAAGGCCAGGGGAGCAAACGGG
rnacentral:rRNA from 1 species